rfam:Nicotiana sylvestris Nsyl_contig22667, whole genome shotgun sequence.
UGGACAGAUUACUCUAUUCGACUGUAUUCACAGCGUGAAACAGGGGAUUACACUUUUUUAAACGGAAUGUGUAUCAAUUAACAUAAUAGACUCCU